UUGGGGCUGUCUGUAAGCAAGGACUGGCCUGUCUCCCAAGGUCUGUGAGAGUGAGGGAUGGUCCUCCAGGAUAGGUUAUAGAUCCUUGAUGGUGCACUGGAGAGGUUUUAGUUGGAGGCUGUAGGUGAUGGCGAGUGGCAUUCAGUGACUUUCUUUGUUGGGCCUGUCCUGUAGUAGGUGACUUCGGGGUACCCUUCUGGCUCUGUCAAUCUGUUUCUUCACUUCAGCAGGUGGGUAUUGCAGUUGUAAGAACGCUUGAUAGAGAUCCUGCAGGUAUUUGUCCGAAUGAUUGGAGCAAAUGUGCUUGUAUCUUAGGGCUUGACUGUAGACAAUGGAUUGUGUGAUGUGGUCUGGAUGAAAGCUGGAGGCAUGUAGCUAAGUAUAGCGGUCAGUAGGUUUCCAGUAUAGGGUGAUGUUUAUGUGAUCACUGCUUAUUUGCACUGUCUGUGGGUUAUAAAAUAGCCAUGUUAUGCUGUAAAAAUUAGAUUUUAUAAAGUUAUUUAAUUAAAUUAAUUUCUUUAGUUCCUUUUGGGACUUGAAUGUGGGAAGGUUGACCCUGUGCAAUUCUUGCUGAAAAACCUAAAAGACUAAACUCUGGGUCUCCAGCUACUUUUCUAUGGGAGUUGGGUUUUUUUUAGGCACUGGAGAAGGGCAAUGAAGUGAACUCUAGCCCACCACCUCCGUUUCUUCUGAAAGGCCAUUGUCACUUUAAGUGUCAGCAAAACUUUGGCAGCAUGCCACAACAAUAACUCAACAUGAACAUUCAAAUUUAAGAUCAGGCCCACACAACUGCUACUGCAGCAUCAGCAAACCCAGGGAGAGAGCUAGACUGGGCUCCCCAUGACAAUCUCAUCCGCAAAUUCAGCACAUGGUACCAGUAUCCCAUCCUCUUCUCUGAGGACACCACAUGGAGAAGGAAUUCCCCUCACUUUCUGGGGUUGAAAAGAAGAGAGUGAUUUGGGCCAUGCUUUUCCUAAUACAUGCCAUCAGCUCACUUCUCCCUGGGAUAACAGCUUUUUUCCUUCUGCCAGCUAAGGGUGUACUAACCCUGCAUUGGGUCAACCGGGCCUGACCAAUCACUGUGGGCCUAGGAGACAAUGCUCCCUUACCCCUGCUGCACAUGCUCCAGGUGGAAGGGACAGAUAAAAGGAGGCAGCCCAGUUCAGUGGGGACUGACUGAGGAGGAGGAAGGACAUGUGCCACAGGUCCUGCAGAGGAAUCUUCAACUCUCCAGGAUGUUGAGACCAUGGACUCAGACUACGCUGUGGAUGACCAGCUGACCAUGGAGACUGACUGGGAUGCUGAGCCCCUGCCAACAGAGGAGAUGCCCUAAAUGGGCCUUAUGGUAGGAAGUACCCAGGAAAUGUGUUAGGGGUUCAAGCAUAGGGAAUUUACCAGCUUCCUAGGGCCCUGGGCUGGAACCCAGUGGAGUAGGGUGGCCCCAAGUUCCUCUAUGCCCUCCUUCUGCACUUGCCACUAGGCAAGCUACCUGACAGCUAGCUGGGAGGAGGAGAGAGUUCAGGUGUGUCCAUGUAAAUACAGUUUGUUCUUGCUCUGCUUAGAUAUCCAUCAGAUAGAGCAGCGUUUUGCUCAAAGUAAUCAACUUUGGCUGAUGUUGGGUUACAAAUCACUUUACUACUGAAUGCAGGGAUAGUGAAAUGCUGUUAUCAAUGUGUUGUAAUUAUUGUAUGAAUACAGGGAGCAGAACCUGUCCCAAAUGAGGGGGUCACCCUCAGCUGAAAGGACCUUGUUAAGCCAGGGGCUCGAAUGCCAGAACCCUGUGAAAGUAAGAGGGGGUGGGGCCAGGUGUCCCAGUCAGGAGGUGUAGAACUUCCCCAAGGAUCUUCCCUAGACUAGUUUAAUGUGUUUCCCUCCCCCCCACGCUGCUCAAAGAAAGAGCUAAAUUUUUUAUCAAGGUCCAAAUUUCUUGGUCAAGGUAUAGUCAAG